rnacentral:rRNA from 1 species
AACGAACGCUGGCGGCAGGCUUAACACAUGCAAGUCGAGCGCCCCGCAAGGGGAGCGGCAGACGGGUGAGUAACGCGUGGGAAUCUACCCAUCUCUACGGAAUAACGCAUGGAAACGUGUGCUAAUACCGUAUACGUCCUUCGGGAGAAAGAUUUAUCGGAGAUGGAUGAGCCCGCGUUGGAUUAGCUAGUUGGUGGGGUAAAGGCCUACCAAGGCGACGAUCCAUAGCUGGUCUGAGAGGAUGAUCAGCCACACUGGGACUGAGACACGGCCCAGACUCCUACGGGAGGCAGCCGUGGGGAAUAUUGAACAAUGGGCGCAAGCCUGAUCCAGCCAUGCCGCGUGAGUGAUGAAGGCCCUAGGGUUGUAAAGCUCUUUCACCGGUGAAGAUAAUGACGGUAACCGGAGAAGAAGCCCCGGCUAACUUCGUGCCAGCCGCCGCCGUAAGAC